CUCCUUUAUAGACAUUGUACUCUCUAAUUCUUCCCUUCCUUACAGUUUAACAAUUCCUUAUACUUCCAGAAAAUUCUCCAAGGAAUGUUGAGGCUGUGCUUCUAUAUUUAGAAGCACUGGAAAACCCUACUUUUGGAAACUUGGGGAUUUGUUUGUGUUUUGGAAAUAAUGUACAUCUGAACAACUCCUGUAGUUGUGUUUCUCUGGGUUACAUCACCCCUAGAAGAACUAAUUUGAAAUAUACAAAGUAAAGAAAGCAACGCCAGGUUGAAGUUUAUCCAAGCAAAUGAUGAGGUUAAUACAGGGUCAGACUCUUCUGCAAAUCCCUCAGCUUCCGUGACAUCAUCCUCCAGGCUAUGGACAAACCAUGUGACCUGUUACUUAUCACUGACGAGCAAAUGGACUCUUGCCAGUGGAUUCUUCAAAACCUUCUUUCUCUUGCAGCAUUGUCCCAUUCAAUGAAUUUAUACAGAUUAUGUCUAUUAGAACAAAGAGUUGGAGCCAUUCAUUAAAAACCACGAGGUUCAGAAUAAUGAUUCUAACUCAUCUGCUUGAGUUUGGAUUCUCUGCAGCAGUGAACAUAGAAGAAGAUCAGAAAGAACAGAUGUCUAUUUUUUAAAGACACAUGGAUAUACAUCUCUGGGCCUGUGCAGUUUACUUAGCAUCUGCAUGCUUUCUAAAGUAAAGUACAUAAGCCAACAGCAUAGUUACUGCCAAACAAGCUCUCAAAUUCCUGUAUUUAUACUAAAAGGAAGCAAAAUUCUAAGCAAAAAGAAGAAGAAAUUGUUUAUAAAGAUCUAAUCGGAGAAGAAAAACUUUCUCACUGGGAUGGUAUGCAAACUCAUUCUAAAAUAAUAAGCCAAUGUUAGGGAGGCACUGUGAUUUUAUAUUUUUCUUUAACAAAUAUAUUAUGAGCACUUCUUAUGUGUCAGGCACUGUGACAGGUGCUAUAGAUAUUACAAUAAGAAAGGCAAACUUGGCUUUGCUCUUGGAGUAGUCACAAUAAAUGAAUUUGAAUAAAAGGACUUAUUAAUAAAAGAAUUACAAAUUGCGAUAAGUGCUACAAAGGAAACUAACAAAGGACUGACUUAGAGACUGGCAAGUUAUCAGAAAAAGCCCCUCUGAGGAUGUCAUACUUAAGCUGAGGUCUGGAGUAUGAGGAGGGGAAGAAGGCAGAGUGUUUCCAAGCAGAAGAACAGCACAGCCAGAGACCCAGAGACAAGGAAUCACUGUGCACAUUUGAGAAACUAAAAGAAGGCCAGCAUGGCUGAACCUGAGUGACCAAAGUCUGGUCAUACUGAAGGGGCCUUGAUGGGCAUCUCAAAACAGGAAAGGAAAUCAAAUCAUUUAGCCCACCAAGCCGGAGAGCUGCAAGGAGGAAGAGGUCAUUCAGGUGGUGUGGAAGCUCCAGAUGGUUUCAACCAUGCCCCCACCCACAGGGAUGGAAUGAUGAGGACAGCCACUUCUCCCACCUCCUGGUCCCUGCAUGCCUGGGAGGAGAUGAAUAGCAGAUGACCAGCAUCAAAGAAGAAAAAUUGGGACUUACAGAAAGAGCCAGGACCAACCCUUACUGGGUAUGGUUUAUGAGCACUUCCCAGCUUACAUGCUUAUUCCACAUAAUCUUCAUAAUUACAGGCAUCACUACAAUUGCUAUUCCCAUUUCACUGGUGAAAAAACUGAGGCUUAAAGAGGUUGAAUAUUCAGAGGCCAAGGGAAGGGGAAAGCAAGAUGAGAGUCAAAGGGUUCAGGGCUCACUUCUCCUAGGGGAAGGGCUCCAGCAAUUCUAGAAGACUCCACUUCCAAGGAGGAGCUAUGGUCCAGUUCCAAAGACUCAGAGAACAACUCUCUAGUCCCACACCCUUGGAUAAUUAAAUUCUUUAAAGCUUGGUUCCCUCACUGAUAACUCAAACUAAUAAAGCACCAUUUAGUUGUGAGACCUAAAUGAGAUCGUACAUGUGAAGGGUUGUGCACACUUCCUGGCCAAGGCCAAGCACCCAAGAUGUGGGCACUGCCAUCAUUGUUAUUAUUCCAGUGCUGCCAAUUAUUUUUCUAAAACAUUGUAAUAUAU
rnacentral:lncRNA from 10 species